UGUGGUGAUGAUUGCAAGAAGGACCCACCUGUUCCCAUUCCGAACACAGCAGUUAAGCUUCUUAGCGCCGAGGAUAGUUGAGGUUUGACCUCUGCGAAAGCCGGACGUCGCCACGC
rnacentral:rRNA from 1 species